CGGUCCUAAGGUAGCGAAAUUCCUUGUCGGGUAAGUUCCGACCUGCACGAAUGGCGUAACGACUUCCACGCUGUCUCGACCAGGGACUCGGCGAAAUCGACAUGGGGGUGAAGAUGCCCUCUACCCGCGGCCAGACGGAAAGACCCUGUGAACCUUUACUCUAACUUGUCAGUGGCAUUCGGUCCAUUCUGUGUAGGAUAGGUGGGAGCCUAUGAAGCCGGCACGCCAGUGUCGGUGGAGGCACCGUUGAAAUACCACCCUGGAUGUUCUGGAUGCCUAACCACUUCGGUGGGACAUUGACUGGUGGGGAGUUUGACUGGGGCGGUCGCCUCCCAAAAUGUAACGGAGGCGCGCAAAGGUUCUCUCAGCCUGAUCGGAAACCAGGCGUAGAGUGCAAAGGCAUAAGAGAGCUUGACUGCGAGACUGACAGGUCAAGCAGGUGGGAAACCAGGCCUUAGUGAUCCGGUGGUUCCAAAUGGAAGGGCCAUCGCUCAACGGAUAAAAGGUACUCCGGGGAUAACAGGCUGAUAGCGCCCAAGAGUUCAUAUCGACGGCGGUGUUUGGCACCUCGAUGUCGGCUCAUCACAUCCUGGGGCUGAAGUCGGUCCCAAGGGUAUGGCUGUUCGCCAUUUAAAGUGGUACGCGAGCUGGGUUUAGAACGUCGUGAGACAGUUCGGUCCCUAUCUGCCGUGGACGUUUGAGAUUUGAGAGGGGCUGCUCCUAGUACGAGAGGACCGGAGUGGACGAACCGCUAGUGUACCUGUUGUGUGGUCGCAUGCAUCGCAGGGUAGCUAUGUUCGGAAGUAAUAAGCCGCUGAAGGCAUCUAAGCGCGAAGUACGCUCCAAGAUAAGUAUUCCCUAUGAGCCUCCUGGAAGACGACCAGGUUGAUAGGCGGCAAGUGUACGCAUGGUGACAUGUUUAGCUGAGCCGUACUAAA
rnacentral:rRNA from 1 species